rnacentral:rRNA from 1 species
UACGAAGGGGGCUAGCGUUGCUCGGAAUCACUGGGCGUAAAGGGCGCGUAGGCGGACUUUUAAGUCGGGGGUGAAAGCCCAGGGCUCAACCCUGGAAUUGCCUUCGAUACUGAGAGUCUUGAGUUCGGAAGAGGUUGGUGGAACUGCGAGUGUAGAGGUGAAAUUCGUAGAUAUUCGCAAGAACACCAGUGGCGAAGGCGGCUGACUGGUCCGGUUCUGACGCUGAGGCGCGAAAGCGUGGGGAGCAAACAGG